CUACGGGUCGCAGCAGUGAGGAAUAUUGGGCAAUGGAGGCAACUCUGACCCAGCCAUGCCGCGUGCAGGAAGACGGCCCUCUGGGUUGUAAACUGCUUUUGUUUGGGAAUAAACCCUUCUACGUGUAGAAGGCUGAAGGUACCUUACGAAUAAGGAUCGGCUAACUCCGUGCCAGCAGCCGCGGUAAUACGGAGGAUCCAAGCGUUAUCCGGAUUUAUUGGGUUUAAAGGGUCCGUAGGCGGAUCUUUAAGUCAGUGGUGAAAGCCCACAGCUCAACUGUGGAACUGCCAUUGAUACUGGAGAUCUUGAGUGUAGUAGAAGUAGGCGGAAUAGGGCAUGUAGCGGUGAAAUGCAUAGAUAUGCCCUAGAACACCGAUUGCGAAGGCAGCUUACUAUGUUACAACUGACGCUGAGGGACGAAAGCGUGGGGAGCAAACAGGAUUAGAUACCCCAGUAGUC
rnacentral:rRNA from 1 species